CUCGAGGCCAGAUCUUUCCGGUUGAUCCCGCCGGACCUGACUGCUAUCGGAUUGAUACUAAGCCAUGCGAGUCUUUGUAGCAAUACAAGGCAGACGGCUCAGUAACACGUAGUCAAUCUACCCUAUGGACGGGGAUAACCUCGGGAAACUGAGAAUAAUACCCGAUAGAUCAUUAUGCCUGGAAUGGUUUAUGGUCGAAAUGAUUUAUCGCCGUAGGAUGGGACUGCGGUCUAUCAGCUUGUUGGUGAGGUAAUGGCCCACCAAGGCUAUAACAGAUACGGGCUCUGAGAGGAGAAGCCCGGAGAUGGGUACUGAGACACGGACCCAGGCCCUAUGGGGCGCAGCAGGCGAGAAAACUUUGCAAUGUGCGAAAGCACGGCAAGGUUAAUCCGAGUGUUUUCUGCUAAAGAAAUCUUUUGUCAGUCCUAAAAACACUGAUGAAUAAGGGGUGGGCAAGUUCUGGUGUCAGCCGCCGCGGUAAAACCAGCACCUCAAGUGGUCAGGAGGAUUAUUGGGCCUAAAGCAUCCGUAGCCGGCCGUGUAAGUUUUCGGUUAAA
rnacentral:rRNA from 1 species